rnacentral:rRNA from 1 species
GGGUUGUGAGGUUAAGCGACUAAGCGUACACGGUGGAUGCCCUGGCAGUCAGAGGCGAUGAAGGACGUGCUAAUCUGCGAUAAGCGUCGGUAAGGUGAUAUGAACCGUUAUAACCGGCGAUUUCCGAAUGGGGAAACCCAGUGUGAUUCGUCACACUAUCAUUAACUGAAUCCAUAGGUUAAUGAGGCGAACCGGGGGAACUGAAACAUCUAAGUACCCCGAGGAAAAGAAAUCAACCGAGAUUCCCCCAGUAGCGGCGAGCGAACGGGGAGCAGCCCAGAGCCUGAAUCAGUGUGUGUGUUAGUGGAAGCGUCUGGAAAGGCGCGCGAUACAGGGUGACAGCCCCGUACACAAAAAUGCACAUGCUGUGAGCUCGAUGAGUAGGGCGGGACACGUGGUAUCCUGUCUGAAUAUGGGGGGACCAUCCUCCAAGGCUAAAUACUCCUGACUGACCGAUAGUGAACCAGUACCGUGAGGGAAAGGCGAAAAGAACCCCGGCGAGGGGAGUGAAAAAGAACCUGAAACCGUGUACGUACAAGCAGUGGGAGCACAGAGCAAUCUGUGUGACUGCGUACCUUUUGUAUAAUGGGUCAGCGACUUAUAUUCUGUAGCAAGGUUAACCGAAUAGGGGAGCCGAAGGGAAACCGAGUCUUAACUGGGCGUUAAGUUGCAGGGUAUAGACCCGAAACCCGGUGAUCUAGCCAUGGGCAGGUUGAAGGUUGGGUAACACUAACUGGAGGACCGAACCGACUAAUGUUGAAAAAUUAGCGGAUGACUUGUGGCUGGGGGUGAAAGGCCAAUCAAACCGGGAGAUAGCUGGUUCUCCCCGAAAGCUAUUUAGGUAGCGCCUCGUGAAUUCAUCUCCGGGGGUAGAGCACUGUUUCGGCAAGGGGGUCAUCCCGACUUACCAACCCGAUGCAAACUGCGAAUACCGGAGAAUGUUAUCACGGGAGACACACGGCGGGUGCUAACGUCCGUCGUGAAGAGGGAAACAACCCAGACCGCCAGCUAAGGUCCCAAAGUCAUGGUUAAGUGGGAAACGAUGUGGGAAGGCCCAGACAGCCAGGAUGUUGGCUUAGAAGCAGCCAUCAUUUAAAGAAAGCGUAAUAGCUCACUGGUCGAGUCGGCCUGCGCGGAAGAUGUAACGGGGCUAAACCAUGCACCGAAGCUGCGGCAGCGACGCUUAUGCGUUGUUGGGUAGGGGAGCGUUCUGUAAGCCUGUGAAGGUGUACUGUGAGGUAUGCUGGAGGUAUCAGAAGUGCGAAUGCUGACAUAAGUAACGAUAAAGCGGGUGAAAAGCCCGCUCGCCGGAAGACCAAGGGUUCCUGUCCAACGUUAAUCGGGGCAGGGUGAGUCGACCCCUAAGGCGAGGCCGAAAGGCGUAGUCGAUGGGAAACAGGUUAAUAUUCCUGUACUUGGUGUUACUGCGAAGGGGGGACGGAGAAGGCUAUGUUGGCCGGGCGACGGUUGUCCCGGUUUAAGCGUGUAGGCUGGUUUUCCAGGCAAAUCCGGAAAAUCAAGGCUGAGGCGUGAUGACGAGGCACUACGGUGCUGAAGCAACAAAUGCCCUGCUUCCAGGAAAAGCCUCUAAGCAUCAGGUAACAUCAAAUCGUACCCCAAACCGACACAGGUGGUCAGGUAGAGAAUACCAAGGCGCUUGAGAGAACUCGGGUGAAGGAACUAGGCAAAAUGGUGCCGUAACUUCGGGAGAAGGCACGCUGAUAUGUAGGUGAAGUCCCUCGCGGAUGGAGCUGAAAUCAGUCGAAGAUACCAGCUGGCUGCAACUGUUUAUUAAAAACACAGCACUGUGCAAACACGAAAGUGGACGUAUACGGUGUGACGCCUGCCCGGUGCCGGAAGGUUAAUUGAUGGGGUCAGCGCAAGCGAAGCUCUUGAUCGAAGCCCCGGUAAACGGCGGCCGUAACUAUAACGGUCCUAAGGUAGCGAAAUUCCUUGUCGGGUAAGUUCCGACCUGCACGAAUGGCGUAAUGAUGGCCAGGCUGUCUCCACCCGAGACUCAGUGAAAUUGAACUCGCUGUGAAGAUGCAGUGUACCCGCGGCAAGACGGAAAGACCCCGUGAACCUUUACUAUAGCUUGACACUGAACAUUGAGCCUUGAUGUGUAGGAUAGGUGGGAGGCUUGGAAGUGUGGACGCCAGUCUGCAUGGAGCCGACCUUGAAAUACCACCCUUUAAUGUUUGAUGUUCUAACGUUGACCCGUAAUCCGGGUUGCGGACAGUGUCUGGUGGGUAGUUUGACUGGGGCGGUCUCCUCCUAAAGAGUAACGGAGGAGCACGAAGGUUGGCUAAUCCUGGUCGGACAUCAGGAGGUUAGUGCAAUGGCAUAAGCCAGCUUGACUGCGAGCGUGACGGCGCGAGCAGGUGCGAAAGCAGGUCAUAGUGAUCCGGUGGUUCUGAAUGGAAGGGCCAUCGCUCAACGGAUAAAAGGUACUCCGGGGAUAACAGGCUGAUACCGCCCAAGAGUUCAUAUCGACGGCGGUGUUUGGCACCUCGAUGUCGGCUCAUCACAUCCUGGGGCUGAAGUAGGUCCCAAGGGUAUGGCUGUUCGCCAUUUAAAGUGGUACGCGAGCUGGGUUUAGAACGUCGUGAGACAGUUCGGUCCCUAUCUGCCGUGGGCGCUGGAGAACUGAGGGGGGCUGCUCCUAGUACGAGAGGACCGGAGUGGACGCAUCACUGGUGUUCGGGUUGUCAUGCCAAUGGCACUGCCCGGUAGCUAAAUGCGGAAGAGAUAAGUGCUGAAAGCAUCUAAGCACGAAACUUGCCCCGAGAUGAGUUCUCCCUGACUCCUUGAGAGUCCUGAAGGAACGUUGAAGACGACGACGUUGAUAGGCCGGGUGUGUAAGCGCAGCGAUGCGUUGAGCUAACCGGUACUAAUGAACCGUGAGGCUUAACCUUACAACGCCGACGCUGUU